rnacentral:lncRNA from 1 species
AAUUACUCAUUGUCUAAAUAAUUACUCCUCUGCAUACACUGAGAUUUGCUUUCUGCACUGAUGCAGGUGAGGAUGAAUGGUCAUGGGAGCUGUCUUGAAACAGGCUACUGUGUUGCCCUGAACUUGAAGGAAGCUGGAGGAGAAAUGAGAUCAUCUGAAAUCUGCAUGGAUGAAAGUGGGACUGAGCCCCCCAGCCUGGCGAUUCCUCUCCAGCUGUACUGGGCAGCAGAAGGAAAAGGAUCAUGACUGUGAGUCUGGGUUGUCUUUAUACCCUGCUUUCAUUUCUUCAAUGGAAAUGUCUGUCUAAGUGAAAUGAUGUUGGUUUUUUGGAAGUCUGAUUUUGUUGGCUCAAUGAGAUAGAACUAAAAUCCAUUCAAAGAUCAUUCAGCCUGAGCCGAAGUGGUUUUUUUUUUCUCUUUACUUUUCAUUCAGUUGCCAAAUAGAAAAUAAAUGAUUGACUCAGCACCA